UGCUGGUAUCUUUUUAUUAGAGGUGAAAACAGUUGAAAGCGGUACUGGAUUGCAGAUACUCCAUCCGGUGAGGUGUUGGUCUGGCAAAAAAAAACAAAUAAGGCAGUGCUUGAGAGUGGGAAUUUCAAGAAAAAUUUGCAUCUUUCAACUAACACAAGCUUCACUCUCUUCCGAUAUGGUGUUCAUUCUUGUUGUUUUAUUCAGUCUUCGAUUUUCUUCUAUGAUUUGAAAGUUAAUUUCUCUUUUAUGUUCAGUGUAGCAGAUUUCAUAGCCAAGGUAACCGAGAACAUUAUAGGUAUAUACUAUCGAAAUCACAACAGUUAUGCUAUCCACAGAGUGUGAUCGUUGUGAUUUCAGGACAUGCAUUCAUGCAUCGCAUUCAUACAUACAUGCAUAUGUUCAUGCAUUGCAUACACACAUACAUUCAUGCAUAUUUGCAUCCUUUAUUCUAGUUUUGUUCAUUUCUUUCAUCAUAUGCUUAAUUUAAUUGGUUUUUUGCUUAUUUAAUCAAUUUGCUUGAUUCCUUGUUUUUGUUUUCUUCGUUUCCUUGAUUGCUUCCGUACAUGCUUAAGUUGUUUGCUUGCUUUCUUUUUGUGUUUUUUUUUUUGAACUGUUUUGUGUUUCUUUUUGCUUUCUCUGCUUCUUUCUAUUUUUCUUCUUAGCGCUUUGGUUGCUUUUUUUGGGUUUAUUAUUUACUGCAUGGCUUCUUUGCUACUUUCUCUUAUUUGCUUACAUGCUUCUUAAAAUACAAUAAAUUAUGCAUAGCUAAAUAUUAUUACUCUUACAGUUUAUGUACACUUUAAAUUAUUAUUUGUAUGAAGACUAUAUUUUAUUUUAUAGCUGUGUAUUCAAAAAUAUUAGUUUUAGUCUUUUAAACACUAAUUAAUACAAAAUAUAAUUUAUUAACAAUAGACAAUUAUGUUAAUUGUUACAGUUGGUUAUUUUUCCGUAAA